rnacentral:rRNA from 1 species
CCUACGGGCGGCUGCAGUGAGGAAUAUUGGUCAAUGGACGCGAGUCUGAACCAGCCAAGUAGCGUGAAGGAUGACUGCCCUACGGGUUGUAAACUUCUUUUAUAUGGGAAUAAAGUGAGGCACGUAUACCUUUUUGUAUGUACUAUAUGAAUAAGGAUCGGCUAACUCCGUGCCAGCAGCCGCGGUAAUACGGAGGAUCCGAGCGUUAUCCGGAUUUAUUGGGUUUAAAGGGAGCGUAGAUGGAUUCUUAAGUCAGUUGUGAAAGUUUGCGGCUCAACCGUAAAAUUGCAGUUGAUACUGGCAGCCUUGAGUGCAGUAGAGGUAGGCGGAAUUCGUGGUGUAGCGGUGAAAUGCUUAGAUAUCACGAAGAACUCCGAUUGCGAAGGCAGCUUACUAAACUGUAACUGACGCUGAUGCUCGAAAGUGUGGGUAUCAAACAGGAUUAGAUACCCUAGUAGUC